GACGAACGCUGGCGGCGUGCCUAAUACAUGCAAGUAGAACGCACAGUUUAUACCGUAGCUUGCUACACCAUAGACUGUGAGUUGCGAACGGGUGAGUAACGCGUAGGUAACCUGCCUGGUAGCGGGGGAUAACUAUUGGAAACGAUAGCUAAUACCGCAUAAUAUUGAUUAUUGCAUGAUAAUUGAUUGAAAGAUGCUAUUGCAUCACUACCAGAUGGACCUGCGUUGUAUUAGCUAGUAGGUGAGGUAACGGCUCACCUAGGCGACGAUACAUAGCCGACCUGAGAGGGUGAUCGGCCACACUGGGACUGAGACCAGGCCCAGACUCCUACGGGAGGCAGCAGUAGGGAAUCUUCGGCAAUGGACGAAAGUCUGACCGAGCAACGCCGCGUGAGUGAAGAAGGUUUUCGGAUCGUAAAGCUCUGUUGUAAGAGAAGAACGGGUGUGAGAGUGGAAAGUUCACACUGUGACGGUAUCUUACCAGAAAGGGACGGCUAACUACGUG
rnacentral:rRNA from 1 species